rnacentral:lncRNA from 1 species
AAAUUUUACAUUCUCCAAAAAGUUUGAGCCAAAAGUUUUUCCGAAAACUCAAGUUAUGGCUUCAACCAUUACUACAAACAAACCCACAUACUUACUACUUUUGAUUUGGAAGCGUCGCCUUCAACUCCUUACAACUCCUUCAUAUAAACUCCAAAAGCAAUAAUUCUUUCGUGAAAUAUGUAGGCCUUGAAAUCGCUGUUCCAGUCGCACCUUCCGAUCUUCAAAAGCUGCUGUAAAACUCAUCGUACUCUCAAAAGAGUAACAGUAUGUCUUAAAUAAACACCUUAACUUCAAACGGAUAUAACUUUUUCACCCUAACUCCAAAUCCUUUA